rnacentral:rRNA from 1 species
UUGGUGCUUGCACCAGAUGACGACCGGCGCACGGGUGAGUAACGCGUAUGCAACCUACCUUUUACAGGAGGAUAGCUGGCGGAAACGGAAAUUAAUACUCCAUAGUUUCACAAUUUCGCAUGUUAUUGUGAAUAAAACUGCGGUGGUAAAAGAUGGGCAUGCGUGUCAUUAGCUAGUUGGUAAGGUAACUGCUUACCAAGGCAACGAUGACUAGGGGUUCUGAGAGGAAGGUCCCCCACACUGGUACUGAGACACGGACCAGAGUCCUACGGGAGGCAGCAGUGAGGAAUAUUGGUCAAUGGGCGAGAGCCUGAACCAGCCAUGCCGCGUGCAGGAAGACUGCCCUAUGGGUUGUAAACUGCUUUUGUAUGGGAAGAAUUAUAGCUACGUGUAGUUAUUUGCCGGUACCAUACGAAUAAGCAUCGGCUAACUCCGUGCCAGCAGCCGCGGUAAUACGGAGGAUGCCAGCGUUAUGCGGAUUCAUAGGGUUUAAAGGGUGCGUAGGCUGGCUUGUAAGUCAGUGGUGAAAUGCUGUGGCUUAACCAUAGAAUUGCCAUUGAUACUGCAAGUCUUGAGUACAGUUGAGGUGGGCGCAAUGAGUAAUGUAGCGGUGAAAUGCAUAG